GGCUUUGAAGCGGUGACGCCAGUCAUCGUGGAGCCUCCCUUGAGAUACCACCCUUCGCACUCUUGAUGUCUAACCGCGGUCCGUUAUCCGGAUCCGGGACCCUGCGUGGCGGGUAGUUUGACUGGGGCGGUCGCCUCCCAAAGCGUAACGGAGGCGCGCAAAGGUGAGCUCAGGUUGGUCGGACAUCAACCGCUGAGUGCAAUGGCAAAAGCUCGCCUGACUGCGAGGCCGACGGGCCGAGCAGAGACGAAAGUCGGUCAUAGUGAUCCGGUGGUCCCGAGUGGAAGGGCCAUCGCUCAACGGAUAAAAGGUACGCCGGGG
rnacentral:rRNA from 1 species